CUACGAAGGGGGCUAGCGUUGUUCGGAAUUACUGGGCGUAAAGCGCGCGUAGGCGGACUGAUCAGUUGGGGGUGAAAUCCCAGGGCUUAACCCUGGAACUGCCUCCAAUACUGUCAGUCUUGAGUUCGGGAGAGGUGAGUGGAAUUCCUAGUGUAGAGGUGAAAUCCGUAGAUAUUAGGAAGAACACCAGUGGCGAAGGCGGCUCACUGGCCCGAUACUGACGCUGAGGCGCGAAAGCGUGGGGAGCAAACAGGAUUAGAUACCCUAGUAGUCC
rnacentral:rRNA from 1 species